GGGGAUGUCAGUUAGAUGAUUACCUCCCAUAGUUCCAAUUUUGGUAUUCAGUCUUAUUAUAGAACUCAAUUCAGUUCUACAGAAUCAGGACUGUUAAACACAGUCACCAAGUUAUCAAAAAUUUAGUUAUCAGAGAUCUCAGAUAUCAGUUACUCAGUUAUAAAAAAUUUGUUCUCAGCUUCAUUAAAAGAUCAGAUACAAUAUAUACAAUAUACACGUAUAUGCAUAGUAUUGGAUACUCAAUA
rnacentral:lncRNA from 1 species